UUGUGGUUUUGGGGGCUUGACAUCUGCCAGAGAUUUACACAAACCUUUGCUUUCAUUUCCAGGCCUCCCACUGAGCCAGGCCAAGGAGAUGGAUCAUCACACCGAUCCUGGUCUUACGAGUGACACAGACCUGAGGGAAGGUUUUGGAAAGAUCCGUGCUGCAUUGUGCAUGUUGGCUCAAAAGAACUUAGAGCGGAAGGAUGCAGAGAUUUUGGAGAGAGAGAUGAAGAAAAGGAGGCAAAGGAACACAUCCUUGCAACCCAUUCUGGAGACAGUUGAGCCCGGGGAUGAAGCUGAAGCAAGCUUUAGCCUACCACCUGUUGAUGGCACAGCUUCUAGAGUGCAGAGAAAACACCCUGGUAGUGCCUUGAAGAAGAAGGUCUUGAAGAAGC